rnacentral:rRNA from 1 species
CCGUUGCUCCCACGACUCGGCCGCGUCGACCGAGAAUCAACGGAUCGAGGAUUCGUCCAAGUGAAGUUGAGGAAAGUGGCGGACGGGUGAGUAACGCGUGAGGAACCUGCCUCGGAUGGGGAAUAACAGUUGGAAACAGCUGCUAAUACCGCAUGAUGCAGUUGGGUCGCAUGACCCUGACUGCCAAAGAUUUAUCGCUCUGAGAUGGCCUCGCGUCUGAUUAGCUAGUUGGCGGGGUAACGGCCCACCAAGGCGACGAUCAGUAGCCGGACUGAGAGGUUGGCCGGCCACAUUGGGACUGAGACACGGCCCAGACUCCUACGGGAGGCAGCAGUGGGGAAUAUUGGGCAAUGGGCGCAAGCCUGACCCAGCAACGCCGCGUGAAGGAAGAAGGCUUUCGGGUUGUAAACUUCUUUUGUCAGGGACGAAGCAAGUGACGGUACCUGACGAAUAAGCCACGGCUAACUACGUGCCAGCAGCCGCGGUAAUACGUAGGUGGCAAGCGUUAUCCGGAUUUAUU